rnacentral:rRNA from 1 species
GACGAACGCUGGCGGCGUGCUUAACACAUGCAAGUCGAGCGGUAAGGCCCUUUCGGGGGUACACGAGCGGCGAACGGGUGAGUAACACGUGAGUAAUCUGCCCUUCACUUCGGGAUAAGCACCGGAAACGGUGUCUAAUACUGGAUAUGAGCAUCCUGCGCAUGUGGGGUGUUGGAAAGUUUUUUCGGUGGGGGAUGUGCUCGCGGCCUAUCAGCUUGUUGGUGAGGUAAUGGCUCACCAAGGCUUCGACGGGUAGCCGGCCUGAGAGGGUGACCGGUCACACUGGGACUGAGACACGGCCCAGACUCCUACGGGAGGCAGCAGUGGGGAAUAUUGGACAAUGGCGGAAGGCCUGAUCCAGCAACGCGCCGUGAGGGAUGACGGCCU